GUGGGGAAUCUUAGACAAUGGGCGCAAGCCUGAUCUAGCCAUGCCGCGUGAGCGAUGAAGGCCUUAGGGUUGUAAAGCUCUUUCGUGGGGGAAGAUAAUGACUGUACCCCAAGAAGAAGCCCCGGCUAACUCCGUGCCAGCAGCCGCGGUAAUACGGAGGGGGCUAGCGUUGUUCGGAAUUACUGGGCGUAAGCGCACGUAGGCGGACUGGAAAGUCAGGGGUGAAAUCCCGGGGCUCAACCCCGGAACUGCCUUUGAAACUCCCAGUCUUGAGUUCGAGAGAGGUGAGUGGAAUUCCGAGUGUAGAGGUGAAAUUCGUAGAUAUUCGCAAGAACACCAGUGGCGAAGGCGGCUCACUGGCCCGAUACUGACGCUGAGGUGCGAAAGCGUGGGGAGCAAACAGGAUUAGAAACCCUUGUAGUCC
rnacentral:rRNA from 1 species